rnacentral:rRNA from 1 species
GAUGAACGCUGGCGGCGUGCUUAACACAUGCAAGUCGAACGGAAAGGCCCUGCUUUUGUGGGGUACUCGAGUGGCGAACGGGUGAGUAACACGUGGGUGACCUGCCCUUGACUUUGGGAUAACCUUAGGAAACUGGGGCUAAUACCGGAUAGGAGCUCCUGCUGCAUGGUGGGGGUUGGAAAGUUUCGGCGGUUGGGGAUGGACUCGCGGCGUAUCAGCUUGUUGGUGGGGUAGUGGCUUACCAAGGCUUUGACGGGUAGCCGGCCUGAGAGGGUGACCGGCCACAUUGGGACUGAGAUACGGCCCAGACUCCUACGGGAGGCAGCAGUGGGGAAUAUUGCACAAUGGGCGGAAGCCUGAUGCAGCGACGCCGCGUGCGGGAUGACGGCCUUCGGGUUGUAAACCGCUUUCGCUUGGGACGAAGCGUGAGUGACGGUAAUGGGUAAAGAAGCACCGGCUAACUACGUG